AUGGCAGACAAACCGGACAUGGGGGAAAUCGCCAGCUUGAUAAGGCCAAACUGAAGGAAACGGAGACACGGGAGAAGAACACCCUGCCCACCAAAGAGACCAUCGAACAGGAGAAGCGGAGUGAAAUUUCCCAAGUCUGGAGGAUCUCCCCACCCCCAUCAUCUUCUAGACCCCAGUCAUGAUGUGGAGGAAGAGCCACCUGCGAGAUGGACAC